ACUGUGGUAUUUUCCUUUACAUACAUACCUAUGGUAAAGUUUAAUUUAUAAAUUAGGCACAGUACGAGGUGAACAACAAUAACUAAUGAUAACAUGGAACAAUUUUAAUAAUUGUUCCAGCAUCACUACCCAUGUGCUUUGGAGCCAUUAUUAAACUAAAGUUUCCUUGAACGCAAGCUUUGCUGUCAGAGAAACUGCUUUGCACGGUUCAAGAUUUAGGUCCAAUUUCUUACAAUGUCACCAGCAGCCUCUUACUACAAGUUAUGUCAUAACUUUUACAUACCUCAUAAUAGUGAUUAUGAAUAGUUGUUACAGAAUUAUUACAAGUUCUAGCAUCAUAAGAGAUGCUUGCUUCAUCCGAGCCUCUACAGAUGCAGAUGAAUUAUAACCAUCAAAUGACCAGUAUGCAGCCGGGCACAUCAGUUAUCCCCUAAUCUAGAAGAGUUUCGACAGGAAUGGCCACAGUGUUUUGCAGCAACCAUCAUCAAAAUCCUAAAAUCAAACUUUGCAAGACAUUUGGAGAUGUCCUUGGCAGUACUACUACCGCUUGUUAGUGCACCUACGUUCAUUGAUAGGAUUGUGUUGGCGAAGAUUUUAACAGCUGUGAAAACCCCACCAGUACAGGAAAAUACACUUUUUAUGGAUUGUUCUAGACACCCUAUCUUCAUGACUUGCUGAGUUUGGGAUUAGCCUUUGUAUUCAUUUUCUAUGGCUGCAUAACAAAUUCCACAAAACUAGGAGUUUAAAACAAUACAAACAUUAGCCCACAGUUUCCCUGGGUUGAGAGUCUGGUGUGACCUGGAUUCUCAGCUCAGGGUUCCACGAGGCUGAAAUCAAGGUGCUGGCCAGCUGCAUCCUCAUCAGGAGGCUCAACUAUGGAAAGAUCUGCUUCCAAGGACCCUCAGUGUGUUGGCAAAAUUCAUUUCCUUGUGGCCAUGUGACUAAAAUCCUUACAAGAGAGUCUCUCUUCCACCUGAGAUUUCUUCUCAUCUCUUUUAAGUACUCAUUUGAUUCAGUCGGGCCCACCCAAGUUAAUCUCUCUUAUUAAUUCAAUGUCAGCUGACUGGGGACCUUAAUUACAUCUGCAAAAUCUCUUCUGCAAUAUUGAAUAAUAUAAUCAUGUGAGUGAUACACAGCCCAUUAUGUUUACAAGUCUUGUUCACACUGAAAAAGGGGAUAAUACAGUCAUGUACACAAAGGGGUGGGAAUAUUGGAGGUCGUUCUAGAAUUCUGCCUACCUUUGCCAUUCAUUCGUUGUGUCCCUGUUUCUGAUCUAUGAGUUGAGGAUAAUAUUCCAUUUUCAAGAUUGUUAUAAAGCACCUUUCAUUCAUUAGAGAAGAGUAUCACCAU